UACGGAGGUGCGAGCGUUGUCCGGAAUCACUGGGCGUAAAGGCGCGUAGGCGGCCUGGUAAGUAGGGGGUGAAAUCCUGCGGCUUAACCGCAGGGCUGCCUUCUAAACUGUCAGGCUCGAGCACGGUAGAGGCAGAUGGAAUUCCCGGUGUAGCGGUGGAAUGCGUAGAGAUCGGGAAGAACAUCAGUGGCGAAGGCGGUCUGCUGGGCCGUUGCUGACGCUGAGGCGCGACAGCGUGGGGAGCAAACAGG
rnacentral:rRNA from 1 species